rnacentral:rRNA from 1 species
AAAGCGUGGGGAGCAAACAGGAUUAGAUACCCUGGUAGUCCACGCCGUAAACGAUGUCUACUUGGAGGUUGUGGCCUUGAGCCGUGGCUUUCGGAGCUAACGCGUUAAGUAGACCGCCUGGGGAGUACGGUCGCAAGAUUAAAACUCAAAUGAAUUGACGGGGGCCCGCACAAGCGGUGGAGCAUGUGGUUUAAUUCGAUGCAACGCGAAGAACCUUACCUACUCUUGACAUCCAGAGAACUUUCCAGAGAUGGAUUGGUGCCUUCGGGAACUCUGAGACAGGUGCUGCAUGGCUGUCGUCAGCUCGUG